UUUAAGACCCAAAUUUUAAAACAAUUUGGGCCGACGAAGAAGAAAAAGCGCAGCUGAUCACUCUACUAAGAUCUGUGGUACGACGUCACCAGAGCACUGACAGCACGCCUGACCAAGGGAAUGCAAACAUCCCUUCGCCAGCAAAAAAAACCCGCUUUCUUGACGGAUUCAAAAAGAAAAGGACAUCGAUUGAAUCCGAUGAAGUUGACAGCUACCUAAGUGAGGGGACAGGAGAAUUAAGCUCGUUAGAUCGAUUCCCAACCAUCAAGAAAAUUUUCCUGGAAUAUAACAGUGCCUUAGCUUCGUCGGCCGCCUGUGAGCGGGUUUUCAGUUGUGCAGGAUUAAUUUUCACGGCGAAACGGACUAAUUUGACAGAUGGGAACUUCGAAGCCUUAGUUUUUCUAAAAUUAAAUGGUGAUUGCUGCCGCU